rnacentral:lncRNA from 1 species
CACUGAAUAACUGUCUUCAUUGUAUGGUAACUCGCGUUGACCGGUAACUCAGUUUUAAUGCAUGACAUGCUUAUUAUCACGUUUUACAAAUAUGGUAUAUUGGUAAUGCGGUGGUUGGGGUAGCGCCAAUGUCAGGAUUUUCGUAUUGGACCGAUUGAAUUCUCAAAAUUUCCGGAGCCCUGUCAGGCGCUAUUAUGACCCGAGAACAUGAACAUGAAUCUUCAUUAGUUGAACAAACUACGCUAACACGUACAUCAGAAAUAACCAUUAGAGAUCACGAGUUUAACCGAAGGAAAGGAAGCGUACCAAAGUAUGGAACAUUGAGAAAAUUGAAUGAUAUACCAAGAGGUGUUCGACCAGUUAAGUCACAUUACAGAGUUGAUGAGUCCACUAAGACUAUAUUUUGAGCGAACUCACAAAGUAAAAUACAGCGCAACAGUUUCGCUGUAUACAGUGGAUUGAAAUUGAUAAAAUAUAACAAGGAAAUGUUCGGCUGUGAUUAAAUCCGUCUUCUCUGAAAAUUAACAAGCAUAACUAUGAUGUUUUCUGUUGAUUGCCACCACAAAUUUAAAUGCCAACUCUACUGUUUUCAAUUUUGCCGUAAUAAAGUUGCUUGUGUCCAAUAUUACAUCUUUUGGACCCCGUGCAACUCGGGUUUGCCUUUUCUGAAGUUGUAUGUGGUACUUCUUCUUUCUGUUUAAAACCAUUCAAUUUUCCAAUCAGAAACUUUAAACGACAAAAUUAAGCACGUGAUAAAAUGAUGGGAACUACAUUCAUGUUUCAGCAGAUGAUACACUGUAACAUAGAUGAGUUAAACAUUUUAUCUCAGUUUUACUCUCAUUGUACAGCGUCCAUGUGUUUUAGUGUUAGUAUCGAAUUAUUUAUUGUUUUGAUACAUAGUAGUAUGACUCAUAAGAUAUUCAAAGACGACAAUUUAUGUUUCAGAAACAAAAUAUGAACUAUACCGCAUGUACGUAAAGGGGUAUAUUACAUGUACCUUAUCACCAACACCUAAUAGCCUUGUUUCAUAUUAUGAUCAUGUUAUAUCGACACAAGAUUGCGCAGGUGGAUAAACAACUACUAUAACUUCUAAUGAGUUCAAAACAUUUUACAUCAUGAUCAUAUCUUAAGACUGGGAUAUAUUGUUGCGCGCUAGUGGGGGCACAGGGUGGGGGGUGUCGUUGCCUCGCAGUGUGGGGAAUAGGUGGAGCGGUAUUAAAUAGGGAGUGGCAGUGGUUGCCUCAAUAAUGCUCGGAUUUUGCCUCCUGUAUCCUAUCGAAGGAAUCCGUUAUGCCCUAGGAGUCCUCCUUUUACAUGCACAAUAUUUACUAAGUGUCCUAGGCUAGACUGGUACGGUCCACCACGGUGAGAUUCCAGGUUCAAGGCUGCAAUCGGUAUCCGCUGUAAUCAGCCCUUAACUCCUAUGCCAUAGCCCAGGUGUUCCCGCUCAUCAGCCGUUUGGGUGUGGUGUUUUGAAAUGGACUUCAGUUAUAUACAAAGGCCAAAUAUUUUACUUAGUGGAUACAGGGGAGCUAACCUAUAACUAAUUACUACUAAAGAUGAGACAACACCUUUCCAUUCUUAACAAUUUUAAUUAUUUUAUUAACAAUUUCAGCAAGAGCAUAUAUCUGUAUCGGUGGCACAUACACUACCUUAAAUUUAUAUCAAUAGCAUAUACACUACCUUAAAUUUAUUAAAAUACCCCUGAGGUUCUCGAAAGCCUACCCAAUAAAGUUACCUUACACAAUACCCGACAUUAUGCAAACCUUCAGUGAUUCAUUUUGAAAUCUGAAGAUACGAGUCCAUGGGACUCACAUAUUUUGAAACAAAGAGUCCCAGCCAGUGAGUAAUAAGUCAAAAAGGGACUCAAUAUAUCAUGAAACAGUAAGUCCCAAAUUUGAAUUGUUUGCUUUAUUGUAUAUUGGUUAACUGAUUGACUGAUUUAAUGGGUUUUACACACUAUAUAUCUGCACCAGAACUGAACUAAACAGGAUGAGGAGAAAAAAAACUGUUAAAAGUUGUAUUUUGAAUGUUUCUGUCCUUUGCAGUUUUGUUCAUACCGUUCAUUUUUAUGUUGUCAGUACAGAUUGUACAGUACAUAUAAUCUUCACUUUCGUCAUAGUGUAACCACGAAUAAAGAGUGAGCCAUUUAGAAACGAAUUUUCUUUUUUUCUUAUCUUGGUUUUCUGACGUGCUCGCAGCCGCUGCUUCAUUUUCUGUUGAAAUGCUCGCUUCUUCAGUACCCGACGAUUCACUCGAAGUUUAGACCAAAAAAAAACGGAAAGUUUUUGCUGUUUGGGAUCUAACUUCUGCUGUUUUUUUAACGGACAUCGUCAGAUUGUUGAAAUAUUUUGGCCGAAAUAUCCAGAUACUUUGGAAACAAUACUCCCAAACAUAAAAUAAAUGACCGUCACCGAUUGGUUAAAAAAAUCACUACUGUCCAAUCAGAAUAUGCUUUACAAAUCGAACGGUGAUAAGGUAGUUUUGACGCAUGAAAAUUAUCCACGACAUCCGUUCUACUUUUUAAACCAUUAGAGGAAGUAAACGAAGGUACACAUUAUGUCAGUGAAAUUGUUUGCGUCCCGCGGCUGCACAUAUUUCAAAUUCACGCGUCCCCGGUGAAAAAUAUGCGUCUUUGACGCAGGACGCAUGGCAAAAUGAAUCACUAACCUUUGACUUGUACACAUAUAGAAUUCUAGUAUUAAAUUAAAGCAUCACUUUGAUAAAGUUUAAAACACUAGAAAAAUGAUAAUAAUUUACUAAUACCUGUCUUUGAAAAAUUGUUAUAAGGAAUUAUGCAAAUAAAACAGAAUUUACUUAGUUAGCCUUAAAUGAAAAUGCAAACCUUGUGUCUAAACGUCACAGAGAUCAGGAUUGACCUAUUUAUAAACCUAGAGGUAAAAAGAACAUACCUAACUCAAAAAUUUUCAUGACCCAACCCAAACAAAUUUUCAACUGAAGUCCUUGAGCACAGCGACGACCGAGUAUUUAUACCCAAGACCUGUGCAACAGAUGCUGUGUGCAGCAAACAAUGCACUAGCGCAGCACUGCAGCGGCAUUUGCACCAAAAAGCUUGCAAAUGCAUGCUAAGUGCAACACCAGUGCAGCGCUGCUGCACUGCAACCAAAACAACGCAGCAAAAAUGCAGCCCGACUGCACCUCACACAAAAACUCAUAAAAAUACAAGCACUGUGACGAUUAUACACAGGAAUUAAUAUUGCAAAACAUUAAUAUAGAAUAAACACUUAAUGAUUACGCUUUCUGCAGUUCGGUAGGUGAGCCAUUAUAUGUAAAACACAACUUUCUUAGCGAUUCUUACACAACGCACAUAGAAUGCAGACAGUGUUACCGGUAGCAACGAACCGGAAGUAGUUAAUCCAACAUGGCCGCUCCCAGCAAAACAAUAACUGUAGACUACAUAUUAUCGGAAAAAAAACGAGUAUUACACAAGGAAUUACUUGAAAUUACCUGGCAGGAAUACAAACAAUGAUUAACAUAAUCGAUUCUGACAGGAUUCAGCAUAAAUAGUUCAUUACACAAGUACAUAUGGAGCGAAUAUGCAAGAAAUCAUAACAACAUGUACAUUGUUUACAUCUGAAGUCGAGUGAUCGUGUGAUACCGGGAAAUGCUAGAGACUCCUGGCGUAACGCAUGAAUUAGGCAGGUUGAACUGAAUUUUAAAACUGUACAACUGUCAAAAUUUGUGUGGUUUGCCAGUGAAAGCUGCAAAA